rnacentral:rRNA from 1 species
UACGGAGGGUGCAAGCGUUAUCCGGAUUCACUGGGUUUAAAGGGUGCGUAGGUGGCGCGGUAAGUCGGGUGUGAAAUUUCGGAGCUUAACUCCGAAACUGCAUUCGAUACUGCCGUGCUUGAGGACUGGAGAGGAGACUGGAAUUUACGGUGUAGCAGUGAAAUGCGUAGAGAUCGUAAGGAAGACCAGUGGCGAAGGCGGGUCUCUGGACAGUUCCUGACACUGAGGCACGAAGGCCAGGGGAGCAAACGGG